rnacentral:rRNA from 1 species
UUUAUGGAGAGUUUGAUCCUGGCUCAGGAUGAACGCUGGCGGCGUGCCUAAUACAUGCAAGUCGAGCGAACGGACGAGAAGCUUGCUUCUCUGAUGUUAGCGGCGGACGGGUGAGUAACACGUGGAUAACCUACCUAUAAGACUGGGAUAACUUCGGGAAACCGGAGCUAAUACCGGAUAAUAUUUUGAACCGCAUGAUUCAAAAGUGAAAGACGGUCUUGCUGUCACUUAUAGAUGGAUCCGCGCUGCAUUAGCUAGUUGGUAAGGUAACGGCUUACCAAGGCAACGAUGCAUAGCCGACCUGAGAGGGUGAUCGGCCACACUGGAACUGAGACACGGUCCAGACUCCUACGGGAGGCAGCAGUAGGGAAUCUUCCGCAAUGGGCGAAAGCCUGACGGAGCAACGCCGCGUGAGUGAUGAAGGUCUUCGGAUCGUAAAACUCUGUUAUUAGGGAAGAACAUAUGUGUAAGUAACUGU